UCCGGUGAAGUGUUCGGAUUGCGGCGACGUGGGCGGUUCGCUGCCCGCGACGUCGAAAGAAGUCCACUGAACCUUAUCAUUUAGAGGAAGGAGAAGUCGUAACAAGGUUUCCGUAGGUGAACCUGCGGAAGGAUCAUUGUCGAAACCUGCACAGCAGAACGACCCGCGAACACGUUACCAUACCGGGCGAGGGACGUGGGGUGCGCAAGUUCCCCAAGUCUCGAACCCAUGGUCGGGGAUCGCCCUCGGGUGGUCCUCGACUGAACAACGUCACCCCGGCGCGGAAUGCGCCAAGGAAAUCAAACUGAAAUGAACGCGUCCCACCCGUUCGCGGGCUGUGGAGGCGUCUUUUUAAAACACAAACGACUCUCGGCAACGGAUAUCUCGGCUCUCGCAUCGAUGAAGAACGUAGCGAAAUGCGAUACUUGGUGUGAAUUGCAGAAUCCCGUGAACCAUCGAGUCUUUGAACGCAAGUUGCGCCCAAAGCCAUUAGGCCGAGGGCACGUCUGCCUGGGCGUCACGCAUCGCGUCGCCCCCCAACCCUGCACUCCCUCAUGGGAGUCAUGACUGAGGGGCGGAUACUGGCUUCCCGUGUCUCACCGCGCGGUUGGCCCAAAUGUGAGUCCUUGGCGACGGACGUCACGACAAGUGGUGGUUGUAAAAAGCCCUCUUCUUCUGUCGUGCGGUGGCCCGUCACCAACAAAAGCUCAUGUGACCCUGUUGUGCCGUCCUCGACGAGCACUCCGACCGCGACCCCAGGUCAGGCGGGACUACCCGCUGAGUUUAAGCAUAUCAAUAAGCGGAGGA
rnacentral:rRNA from 1 species